AGUGAACGCUGGCGGUAGGCCUAACACAUGCAAGUCGAACGGCAGCACAGUAAGAGCUUGCUCUUACGGGUGGCGAGUGGCGGACGGGUGAGGAAUACAUCGGAAUCUACUUUUUCGUGGGGGAUAACGUAGGGAAACUUACGCUAAUACCGCAUACGACCUACGGGUGAAAGCAGGGGAUCUUCGGACCUUGCGCGAUUGAAUGAGCCGAUGUCGGAUUAGCUAGUUGGCGGGGUAAAGGCCCACCAAGGCGACGAUCCGUAGCUGGUCUGAGAGGAUGAUCAGCCACACUGGAACUGAGACACGGUCCAGACUCCUACGGGAGGCGGCAGUGGGCAAUAUUGGACAAUGGGCGCAAGCCUGAUCCAGCCAUACCGCGUGGGUGAAGAAGGCCUUCGGGUUGUAAAGCCCUUUUGUUGGGAAAGAAAAGCAGCAGGUUAAUACCCCGCUGUUCUGACGGUACCCAAAGAAUAAGCACCGGCUAACUUCGUG
rnacentral:rRNA from 1 species